AUGUACUGCCUUUCCACCCCCAGGCAGAAGCCUCCUGGCGCCCCCGUUGGACUCUCCGUUCUGGAGAGGAGCAAUUCUGAGGAAAUACCCUCCUACCUCUCUGACAACACCACGGUCACCUCGGCAGAUGAGGAGAAAGUGCUCCUGCUGAACAGGAACACGGAGCUCCGUCAGAGGAACAAGGAGGUGGGUGGAGAGUCUGGGCAGAGGAAGCGAAAAGGGGCCCCAGCCCCGGCCCCCCCAGGAAUGGAUCCAGCUGUGACCCAGCUGUGGAGUAACGGAGAGUAUCUUGGCAGGGGUGGGGCUGAGCUGAGCAGGAGAAAGGGCUGGAUCCAGCUAAGGCGAGACCCCCUCCCAGGAGAGGAGUGGGAGAAGUGCAGCAAACAGCCCCUGGGGCCUCCCAGACCCCCUCUUCCCCCUCCUCCUCUUCCUCCUCCUCCUCCUCUUCCUCUGAGCAGAAAGUGGGGGUCCCCAAACUCCAUUCCACCCCAGCCCCUCCUUGCCACCAGCCCACGGCACCCACCAGCCUCUCCUCUCCUUCUGCCCCUUGCAGCUGCUGGAGCUCAGCCGAGUCUGGCAUGCCACCUACCACUCCACCCGCGCGGGGCUGGAGCGCCAAGUGGCCGCCCUGCACGAGGACGUGGCCGCCCUCCGCGCACAAGCCUGCAAACUCUCUGCCCAGCUGGACCACGAGCAGGUGAAAGAGUGACACGCAGCCCUCCAGCCCCCACCCCCUCUGCCCUUCUCUGCAAGCUCAGGGCAGUGCCAACAUUGCGGGGGGCCACUGUCUGCAAGGGGUGCAGUGGGGCAGGGCAGAUGGCUGACUCCAGAGAUGGGCAGAGGGGUGGGGGAGGGAGGCACCCCAGCAAGGAAAAAGUGGACAAGGCAGCUGGGAGCCACGCAGGCAUCAGGUUGGCGAAGAGGGAGCUUGGCAGCCUUGGUGCAUGGUGUCUCUGUGUGUGUGGAAGGGGGUUGGUGGGAAUCCUGGAAGCCAGCCCCUCUGGAGUCGCCAGCCCCUCUGGCCGUCUCCUUUCCGCCACUCCACGGCCUCCCUUCAUCUCACCACUGCAGAGCCGGAGAGAGUAUUACGAAAACACCCUCUUCCAGGAGCUGAAACACAGCCAGGUCAUGCAGGAGUAUGUGAGGCAGCUGGAAGGGCAGCAGCUUUGCAGCCAGAGGCCCCCGGCUCCGGUGAGUGACCCCCUUUCCCUUGGGGUGGGGUGGGGGUGGGAGUGGGUGGGGGUUCCGUCCUUGCCAUGGAAAGUCAGCAGGGAGGAGAGACUUGGUGGCCUCCGGAAAGUUCUUCUGAAAGAGCCUGAGCCGGCAAGAAGGGAGGGGAAGGGCCCUCUCUUCUCCAUCCUGCGAGGCAUUCCCCCAUCCUGUCGGGGGGGGGCUCCUCUUAUUUUUUUGGUGGGAGUGGAGACAGAGAGUGCACAUCUCUGCCCUUCUCUCACUUCCUCCACCCAGAACAAAACCCCCUCGGGCCAGAGUUAG
rnacentral:lncRNA from 1 species